rnacentral:rRNA from 1 species
UGUGCCUACGGGACGCAGCAGUGGGGAAUAUUGCACAAUGGGGGAAACCCUGAUGCAGCAACGCCGCGUGAGUGAAGAAGUAUUUCGGUAUGUAAAGCUCUAUCAGCAGGGAAGAAAAUGACAGUACCUGGACAAGAAGCCCCGGCUAACUACGUGCCAGCAGCCGCGGUAAUACGUAGGGGGCAAGCGUUAUCCGGAUUUACUGGGUGUAAAGGGAGCGCAGGCGGCGUGGCAAGUCAGAUGUGAAAACCCGGGGCCCAACCCCGGGAGUGCAUUUGAAACUGCCAUGCUGGAGUGACGGAGAG